CAACUUUUAACAACGGAUCUCUUGGUUCUCGCAUCGAUGAAGAACGUAGCAAAGUGCGAUAACUAGUGUGAAUUGCAUAUUCAGUGAAUCAUCGAGUCUUUGAACGCAUCUUGCACCUGCUGGUAUUCCAGCAGGUACGCCUGUUUCAGUAUCAG
rnacentral:rRNA from 1 species